GCCCCGUUCUUCUAACGGACAGGAUACUGGCCUUUCACGCCGGAGACGCAGGGUUCAAUUCCCACACGGGGUA
rfam:Gimesia maris DSM 8797 1101493009182, whole genome shotgun sequence.